GAAUGAAGAACGUAGCGAAAUGCGAUAAGUAGUGUGAAUUGCAGAAUUCAGUGAAUCAUCGAAUCUUUGAACGCACAUUGCGCCUUCUAGUAUUCUGGGAGGCAUGCCUGUUUGAGCGUCAUUAAACCUCUCUCAAGUAUGAUUACUUGGAUGUGAAGGAAGAGUACCUUAAACUUAAGGAGUGUUCUCCUUUGAAAUUGAUUAGCAGAUGGUAAUGUUAUUAAAUCCCUGAUGUUGUAAGAAAUAACAGUGGUUUUGUAGACUAUUAUCUAGCUUUAAAUUAUAAUUUUUAUUAUGGUUGACCUCAAAUCAGGUAAGGAUACCCGCUGAACUUAAGCAUAUCAAUAAGCGGAGGA
rnacentral:misc_RNA from 1 species